GAGAGCAGGGUGUGCCUUAACCCCAGGCUGAGUAGAGCCAAAGCAGAGCUCAACAGACUGAAAAUCAAACACGCAGGGGGAUCUACAGCCCAAAGGAAUGGGGUGCAAAGGCUGAGAGCGGUCGUUCAGCCCAGCAGGUGA
rnacentral:ribozyme from 13 species